UGCCGCUUCAGAUGAGUAACCGACUGAGGAAUUGAAGAGGCAACUUCUUAUCAUGGGCAGCAAAGUACCUUGGCCAGAUUCUGUGUCAGAAUGUCUUGAAGCACAGUGCUCUUCCCAGCUCCCAUCCCACCACCCAUGAGAAGGAGGACUGGACUCCUAUCGCUGUGUGCCACUGGAGCCAUCACCUCAGUGCAUCGAACUUUAAUUCUCAAAGACAGAGACACCCUAACAAAUGAAGCCAUUUGAUUGAGGGGAAAGGACCUUCAAGAUGGGGGCUGCAACACCUUUUGGGGAAAUUCGAUGAUCAUAUGAAUUUUUAUUUAGUUUCUUCUUGUAUGUUACGAUCUAGAAUAUAAUCUUUUCAUGUAUAUUUUCUUUCAUUAUCUGGUAACUGAAUGCACAAAAACAUUAGGUACAAUUUGGUUGGGAAAUGACAAGGGAAUGGAGACUGCAUUGGAACUCAA